rnacentral:rRNA from 1 species
GAUGAACGCUGUCUACAGGCUUAACACAUGCAAGUCGAGGGGAAACGACGGGGAAGCUUGCUUCCCCGGGCGUCGACCGGCGCACGGGUGAGUAACGCGUAUCCAACCUGCCUCUGACUGAGGGAUAACCCGUCGAAAGUCGGCCUAAUACCUCAUGGCAUCGUCUGCGGGCAUCCAACGACGAUUAAAGAUUUCAUCGGUCAGGGAUGGGGAUGCGUCUGAUUAGCUUGUUGGCGGGGUAACGGCCCACCAAGGCUACGAUCAGUAGGGGUUCUGAGAGGAAGGUCCCCCACAUUGGAACUGAGACACGGUCCAAACUCCUACGGGAGGCAGCAGUGAGGAAUAUUGGUCAAUGCGCGGGAGCCUGAACCAGCCAAGUAGCGUGCAGGAUGACGGCCCUAUGGGUUGUAAACUGCUUUUAUGCGGGGAUAAAGUGAGGGACGUGUCCUUCAUUGCAGGUACCGCAUGAAUAAGGACCGGCUAAUUCCGUG